rnacentral:rRNA from 1 species
UAGGGAAUAUUAGAAAUGGACGAAAGUCUGACCUAGCAACACCGCGUGUGCGAAGAAGGCCUUCGGGUUGUAAAGCACUUUUUGGAAGGAUCAGGAAGGAAUGUACUUCCAGAAUAAGUCUCGGCUAACUACGUGCCAGCAGCCGCGGUAACACGUAGGAGGCAAACGUUAUCCGGAUUUACUGGGCGUAAAGCGCGUGUAGGUGGUUUGGUAAGUAGAGCGUGAAAGCUCCUGGCUCAACUGGGAGAGGUCGUUCUAAACUGCCGGACUAGAGGAUGGUAGAGGGAGGUGGAAUUCCGGGUGUAGCGGUGGAAUGCGCAGAUAUCCGGAGGAACACCAGUGGCGAAAGCGGCCUCCUGGACCACUCCUGACACUCAGACGCGAAAGCUAGGGUAGCAAACG